rnacentral:rRNA from 1 species
AAAUAAGAGGUCCAGCCUGCCCAGUGAUAAACUUCAACGGCCGCGGUACCCUAACCGUGCAAAGGUAGCAUAAUCACUUGUUCUCUAAAUAAGGACUUGUAUCAAUGGCAUAACGAGGGUUGCACUGUCUCCCUUAUCCAAUCAGUGAAACUGAUCUCCCUAUGAAAAAGUAGGAAUAUAACUAUAAGACGAGAAGACCCCAUGGAGCUUUAAACCAACAGCAAUUUAAUAAUAUUUCUUUAUAACUAUAAAAUUAUGCUAACGGCUUUAGGUUGGGGUGACCACGGAGUAAAACUUAACCUCCCUGUCGAAAAGAUAAUCUUAACCAAAGAACUACUAUUCUAAGAAUUAGAAAACUAACGAACCAUGACCCGAUAACGAUCAACGAACCAAGUUACCCUGGGGAUAACAGCGCAAUCUACUUCAAGAGUCCUUAUCGACAAGUAGGCUUACGACCUCGAUGUUGGAUCAGGGUAUCCUAGUGGUGCAGCCGCUACUAAAGGUUCGUUUGUUCAACGACUAAAACCCUACGCGAUCUGAGUUCAAAACCGGAGAGGG